UAGAUAAUAGUAUAGUGGGAGUACGUGGGAUUUUGAGUCCUGUGGCAUGGGUUCGAGGCCCGUUUAUCUAG
rnacentral:tRNA from 1 species